UACGAAGGGGGCUAGCGUUGCUCGGAAUCACUGGGCGUAAAGCGCACGUAGGCGGAUUGCUAAGUCAGGGGUGAAAUCCUGGAGCUCAACUCCAGAACUGCCUUUGAUACUGGCGAUCUUGAGUCCGGGAGAGGUGAGUGGAACUGCGAGUGUAGAGGUGAAAUUCGUAGAUAUUCGCAAGAACACCAGUGGCGAAGGCGGCUCACUGGCCCAGUACUGACGCUGAGGCACGAAAGCGUGGGGAGCAAACAGG
rnacentral:rRNA from 1 species